GUUUUCAGGCGGCCUCCUGAGAAAUGUUUGCAAUUGUAAGGCGUCUCUCUCAUCCAGGUUUACCCAGAUUCGCAAACUAUGGCGACAAACAACCAUAGCAGAAGCAUGUCCGGAUUAUUUCACAUAUAUCACAAAAUCCUGCAAAGGGUCUGUCCCCAUUGGAUCACCUCCCAUCACGCCACACACGACGUGAAUGACUUCGUGCUUCUCCAUACCUGCAUUGAUCUCUGGGUCCAUUGCCAGUUAUAAACCUCCAAGGGCAAUAGCCAUGAGCAGGUAACGAGGAGACCAAAGGCCUAGUUAUUUAUGGAGAUCUGGGGCCACAGCAGAGCUCCUCAUGGCAGGAUAAGGCAGUGGAAAGCAGACUCAACGGUUAACCCACAGUCCUCCUCAGCAAGCUGGGAGAAGCAACUGAUGCCACUUAGAUGCUUAGACCGGGCCUUCUGGGAGAGAUCUGGCCCAAGGAGCAGCCGGCAGCUUGACACAGUGACCAAUUGGAAGCACAGCAGCCACACGCCAUGAAACAAGACGGAGUUUCGCUCUUGGCUGGAGUGCAAUGUCGCAAUCUGGGCUCACCACAACCUCCACCUCCCGGGUUCAAGUGAUUCUCCUGCCUCAGCCUCCCAAGUAGCUGGGAUUACAGGCAUGCACCACCAUACCAGACUAAUUUUGUAAUUUUAGUAGAAACGGGGUUUUUCCAUGUUGGUCAGGCUGGUCCUGAACUCCCGACCUCGGGUGAUCCUCCCACCUCAGCCUCCCUAUAUUAUUAAUCUUAAGUCUAAAUGUUCUAUUAGAAAAGUUACAAUCACAUAUGCAGCUUGCAUUACAUUGCUAAUGGAACACGCUGCUCUAAACCAGGGAUUGGCAAACUAUGGGCAGUGGACAACUUCCAGCCCACUGUCUGUUUCUGUACAGCUGGUAAACAAGGAAUGGUUUUCACAUUUUUAAAUGGCAGAAAAAAAAUAAUUUGUGAUACGUGAACAUUAAUAAAAUUCAAAUUUCAGUGUC